GAUCCGUAAAGCUCUGUUGUUAGGGAAGAACAAGUGCGAGAGUAACUGCUCGCACCAUGACGGUACCUAACCAGAAAGCCACGGCUAACUACGUGCCAGCAGCCGCGGUAAUACGUAGGUGGCAAGCGUUGUCCGGAAUUAUUGGGCGUAAAGGGCUCGCAGGCGGUUUCUUAAGUCUGAUGUGAAAGCCCCCGGCUCAACCGGGGAGGGUCAUUGGAAACUGGGAAACUUGAGUGCAGAUAGGAGAGUGGAAUUCCACGUGUA
rnacentral:rRNA from 1 species